rnacentral:rRNA from 1 species
CCUACGGGAGGCAGCAGUAGGGAAUAUUGGGCAAUGGAGGCAACUCUGACCCAGCCAUGCCGCGUGCAGGAAGACGGUCCUCUGGAUUGUAAACUGCUUUUGAAUGGGAAGAAUGUGUGGCUUGCGAGCUAUAAUGACGGUACCAUUAGAAUAAGCCACGGCUAACUACGUGCCACCAGCCGCGGUAAUACGUAGGUGGCGAGCGUUAUCCGGAUUUAUUGGGUUUAAAGGGUGCGUAGGCGGCUUUAUAAGUCUGUGGUUAAAGGUANCAGCUUAACUGUUUUACAUGCCAUAGAUACUGUAGAGCUUGAGUUAUUUGGAGGCAGCUAGAAUUUCCGGUGUAGCGGUGAAAUGCAUAGAUACCGGAAGGAAUACCGAUUGCGAAGGCAGGUUGCUACAAAUAUACUGACGCUGAUGCACGAAAGCGUGGGGAUCAAACAGGAUUAGAUACCCUGGUAGUCCACGCAGUAAACGAUGAUUACUAGUUGUUGGGUGAAUAGCUCAGUGACCAAGGGAAACCGAUAAGUAAUCCACCUGGGGAGUACNCCGGCAAC